CUCCAGACUCCUACGGGAGGCAGCAGUGGGGGAUAUUGCACAAUGGGGGGAACCCUGAUGCAGCGACGCCGCGUGAGCGAUGAAGUAUUUCGGUAUGUAAAGCUCUAUCAGCAGGGAAGAAAAUGACGGUACCUGAAGAAGAAGCCCCGGCUAACUACGUGCCAGCAGCCGCGGUAAUACGUAGGGGGCAAGCGUUAUCCGGAUUUACUGGGUGUAAAGGGGGCGCAGACGGCGAUGCAAGCCAGGAGUGAAAGCCCGGGGCCCAACCCCGGGACUGCUCUUGGAACUGCGUGGCUGGAGUGCAGGAGGGGCAGGCGGAAUUCCUGGUGUAGCGGUGAAAUGCGUAGAUAUCAGGAGGAACACCGGUGGCGAAGGCGGCCUGCUGGACUGCAACUGACGUUGAGGCCCGAAAGCGUGGGGAGCAAACAGGAUUAGAUACCCCUGUACU
rnacentral:rRNA from 1 species